rnacentral:lncRNA from 1 species
AGGAUAUAUUUGGCUAAGUGACUAAUAAAUACUCAAUGUAGCACAAUCACCAACCUUAUAACAUUCUAACUCAACAAUCAUCCACCUAUCACAAAAACCAAAUUUCCAAUACAAAAUCCAUCACAACACAAUAAUUAAUUCUCAUGAUAUUAUGACUUUCUAAAGCAUCCUAUGUACCCAUUUUUUUCAAUUCUUUUCUCUCUUUUCUUUUCUUUUCUUUUUUUUCUCUCUUUCUUUUCCUUUUUUUUUCUUUUUUUUCCUAACGACUUGUAGGGUACUAGGAUUUUUUCAAUCAAGAUCAAAGUACAUAAUCCAUAAACACACAUCUCCACAAACCAACUACCCCAUAACAACAAUCUCUAAGCUCCCACCCACGGCUAAACCAAAUAAAAUGAAAAAUAAAAGGCUCAAAGGGGUGAACUAGGAUCAUAUAUAGUAAUAGAACAAAUAUGGGAUAUAUAGGCUAGCAAAGACGAC